GAUGAACGCUGGCGGCGUGCUUAACACAUGCAAGUCGAACGAAGCAGCAGAGACGGAAACCUUCGGGCGGAAGACUUUGUUGACUGAGUGGCGGACGGGUGAGUAACGCGUGGGUAACCUGCCUUACACAGGGGGAUAACAGUUAGAAAUGACUGCUAAUACCGCAUAAGACCACAGCACCACAUGGUGCAGGGGUAAAAACUGAGGUGGUGUAAGAUGGGCCCGCGUCUGAUUAGCUAGUUGGUGGGGUAAGAGCCUACCAAGGCGACGAUCAGUAGCCGACCUGAGAGGGUGACCGGCCACAUUGGGACUGAGACACGGCCCAAACUCCUACGGGAGGAAGCAGUGGGGAAUAUUGCACAAUGGGGGAAACCCUGAUGCAGCGACGCCGCGUGAGUGAGGAAGUAUUUCGGUAUGUAAAGCUCUAUCAGCAGGGAAGAAAAUGACGGUACCUGACUAAGAAGCCCCGGCUAACUACGUGCCAGCCGCCGCCGUAAAAC
rnacentral:rRNA from 1 species